UACGUAGGGGGCAAGCGUUGUUCGGAAUUACUGGGCGUAAAGGGCGCGUAGGCGGUUUGUCGCGUCGAAUGUGAAAACCCGGGGCUCAACCCCGGGCCUGCAUUCGAUACGGGCAGACUAGAGUUCGGUAGGGGAGUCUGGAAUUCCUGGUGUAGCGGUGAAAUGCGCAGAUAUCAGGAGGAACACCGGUGGCGAAGGCGGGACUCUGGGCCGAUACUGACGCUGAGGAGCGAAAGCGUGGGGAGCAAACAGG
rnacentral:rRNA from 1 species